UCCUUACAAAACAUCUUUUUUAAAUACACCAAUAGAACUAAUUGAAAAUAUCGAUCACUUCCAAAAUGUCCUUUUUUAUUCCACAAUUAACCCUUCUCAUAACAAAAUAUUUUUAUAAUCAUCACAAGUUGGAUUAACAGUCUCCUAAAAAAGAUGGAAUGGUAAUGCAACCAUGGUUUCUUAAUUUUAACUUCUCUUUCUCCUUUCAAACUUAUCUUUCAAUUUGAAUAGUCCUCAACUUUGUUAAUAGUAUCUCCAUUCCGUUGUUAAAUUCUCGUUCUAAUCUUUUAUUUAUUAUUUUCCAAUGUUUGAUAUUGAUUUGAAUAUUGGAAGUGAAAGCCUUAAAAUAUUUUGAUAUCUAUAAUAGCCAAUAGCCAACAACUAUGUUUUCACCAUACGAAUGAAAAGUGCAAAAGAUACAAGAGGAAUGGAUGUAAUUCAAUUUUGGGUUUAAUCUGUAAACACAAAUAAAAGGUGUUUCAUCGAGAGUUUGGAGUGGUGCCAAUAUCUCCGCUCUUUAUUUAAAGACACAAGUUCCACUCAUUGACCCAAAUUACCACCUAGUGAGUCUAAUUUAGUAAGGUUAAUUUGAACUCUAAUUAUUAUUAUUAUUGACUUGCCCAUUUCAUUGAAAAAAUUAAAGAUUUAAAAAUAAAGAAUUGAACUAUUGAUAAAGUGUUGUGUAUUAUUAAGAAAAAAUAAAAUAAAAUAAAUAAACAUAACAUGCUACUGCACUUAGAUUUCUUUCUCUCCCGCUGUCCUUCGAUCGUGACGAAAAAUUUGAUUAACACUGAAUUAGAACUAAACUAAGUGGAUUCUCCUCUACAUAAUAAGCCAGGGUUUGUAUGACAUAUAACAACAAGUAGGUGAAUCAAAAAAUGUGUAAAUGAAAGAAAAACUUAAGACAACUCUCUAAAGUGGUUUAAUGCACAACAACAAAACGUUAGACUCAAUAUUGGGUUCCCCAUGAAAAUACUUUUUUUUCCACAUUGUUUCCUUCUAUUUUGAAUGAAUUUCUCCUGGUUUCAUUGUAUAUUUCGAUGACGGCCACCACAUCUAACACGUCAUUAAACCUCCCUUUAAACUAAAAUAGCAGAGAGUAAUGUACGAUACAACAAAAUUCUUAAAUGACGGGGUGCUUGUGGGGGGGGGGGUGUGCCACGACGAAACAAGGGAAUGAAAGGCUGCUUUGCGAUGGAUGCUCCUUACUUUGGACUGAUCUUGUUACAACCGUCUCAUAAGUUUU
rnacentral:lncRNA from 1 species